rnacentral:rRNA from 1 species
UACAGAGGGUGCGAGCGUUAAUCGGAAUUACUGGGCGUAAAGCGUGCGUAGACGGUCAAGUAAGUCGGGUGUGAAAGCCCCGGGCUCAACCUGGGAAUUGCAUUCGAGACUGCGUGGCUAGGGUGCGGAAGAGGGAAGCGGAAUUUCCGGUGUAGCGGUGAAAUGCGUAGAUAUCAGGAGGAACACCGGCGGUGUAGACGGCUUUCUGGACCGUAGCUGACGCUGAGACACGAAAGCGUGGGUAGCAAACAGG